rnacentral:rRNA from 1 species
UACGUAGGGUGCAAGCGUUGUCCGGAAUUAUUGGGCGUAAAGAGCUCGUAGGCGGUUUGUCGCGUCGGCUGUGAAAACCUGGGGCUCAACCCCGGGCCUGCAGCCGAUACGGGCAAACUAGAAUUCGGUAGGGGAGACUGGAAUUCCUGGUGUAGCGGUGAAAUGCGCAGAUAUCAGGAGGAACACCGGUGGCGAAGGCGGGUCUCUGGGCCGAUACUGACGCUGAGGAGCGAAAGCCAGGGGAGCAAACGGG